GCCAGUUUAGAAAAUGCCAGCAGCAUGCACAAUAUCCACUAAUAGGGCAGGUAGUGUUGGGCAGGUGUACAGGAUAUAGAGCAGGUAGUGUUGGGCAGGUGUACAGAAUACAGAGCAGGUAGUGUUGGGCAGGUGUACAGGAUACAGAGCAGGUAUUGUUGGGCAGGUGUAUAGAAUACAGAGCAGGUAGUGUUGGACAGGUGUACAGGAUACAGAGCAGGUAGUGUUGGACAGGUGUACAGAAUACAGAGCAGGUAGUGUUGGAUAGGUGUACAGGAUAUAGAGCAGGUAGUGUUGGGCAGGUGUAUAGAAUACAGAGCAGGUAGUGUUGGGCAGGUGUACAGGAUACAGAGCAGGUAGUGUUGGACAGGUGUACAGGAUACAGAGCAGGUAGUGUUGGACAAGUGUACAGGAUAUAGAGCAGGGAGUGUUGGACAGGUGUGCAGGAUAUAGAGCAGGUAGUGUUGGACAGGUGUACAGGUGUACAGGAUACAGAGCAGGUAGUGUUGGACAGGUGUACAGGAUAUAAAGCCGGGAGUGGUGGACAGGUGGACAGGAUAUAAAGCCGGGAGUGGUGGACAGGUGUGCAGGAUACAGAGCAGGUAGUGCUGGACAGGUGUGUAGGAUACAGAGCAGGAAUGUUGCCGGAAUGCUAGUUUUGAGAAGCAGGGAUAUAGAAUGAGGAGCAGGGGAACAGGCUGGGGAGCAGUGGUACAGUCUAGAGAGCAUUGUCUAUGGCUAUGGGGAGGCUUAGAGGUAAAAUGAUCUCAGCAGUCACUUUGCAGACAAG
rnacentral:lncRNA from 1 species